rnacentral:misc_RNA from 1 species
GAUGAAGAACGUAGCGAAAUGCGAUACUUGGUGUGAAUUGCAGAAUCCCGUGAACCAUCGAGUCUUUGAACGCAAGUUGCGCCCGAAGCCAUUAGGCCGAGGGCACGCCUGCCUGGGCGUCACACGUCGUUGCCCCCCCAUCUACUCCUUCGGGAUUGCGAGGGGCGGAUGAUGGCCUCCCGUGCGCCUCGUCGCGCGGUUGGCAUAAAUGCCAAGUCCUCGGCGACGCACGCCACGACAAUCGGUGGUUGCGAAACCUCGGUUGCCCGUCGUGUGCGGUCGUCGCGCAUCGAGGGCUCGAAAAAAUUGCCGGGCUCCGGCUCGGCUUUCAACGCGACCCCAGGUCAGGCGGGGUUACCCGCUGAAUUUAAGCAUAUCAAUAAGCGGAGGA